UGCAAGUCGAGCGGUAAGGCCCUUCGGGGUACACGAGCGGCGAACGGGUGAGUAACACGUGAGCAACCUGCCCCUGACUCUGGGAUAAGCGGUGGAAACGCCGUCUAAUACCGGAUACGACCCGCCACCUCAUGGUGGAGGGUGGAAAGUUUUUCGGUCAGGGAUGGGCUCGCGGCCUAUCAGCUUGUUGGUGGGGUAACGGCCUACCAAGGCGAUUACGGGUAGCCGGCCUGAGAGGGCGACCGGCCACACUGGGACUGAGACACGGCCCAGACUCCUGCGGGAGGCAGCAGUGGGGAAUAUUGCGCAAUGGGCGAAAGCCUGACGCAGCGACGCCGCGUGGGGGAUGACGGCCUUCGGGUUGUAAACCUCUUUUACCACCAACGCAGGCUUCCAGUUCUCUGGAGGUUGACGGUAGGUGGGGAAUAAGGACCGGCUAACUACGUGCCAGCAGCCGCGGUAAUACGUAGGGUCCGAGCGUUGUCCGGAAUUAUUGGGCGUAAAGAGCUCGUAGGCGGCGUGUCGCGUCUGCUGUGAAAGACCGGGGCUUAACUCCGGUUCUGCAGUGGAUACGGGCAUGCUAGAGGUAGGUAGGGGAGACUGGAAUUCCUGGUGUAGCGGUGAAAUGCGCAGAUAUCAGGAGGAACACCGGUGGCGAAGGCGGGUCUCUGGGCCUUACCUGACGCUGAGGAGCGAAAGCAUGGGGAGCGAACAGGAUUAGAUACCCUGGUAGUCCAUGCCGUAAACGUUGGGCGCUAGGUGUGGGGAC
rnacentral:rRNA from 1 species